rnacentral:rRNA from 1 species
UUUUUUGUGGAGAGUUUGAUCCUGGCUCAGGAUGAACGCUGGCGGCGUGCUUAACACAUGCAAGUCGAACGGAAAGGCUCCUGCUUGCAGGGGUACUCGAGUGGCGAACGGGUGAGUAACACGUGGGUGAUCUGCCCCGCACUUCGGGAUAAGCCUGGGAAACUGGGUCUAAUACCGGAUAGGACCACUUCUUGGAGGUUGUGGUGGAAAGUUUUUUCGGUGUGGGAUGAGCUCGCGGCCUAUCAGCUUGUUGGUGGGGUAAUGGCCUACCAAGGCGUCGACGGGUAGCCGGCCUGAGAGGGUGUACGGCCACAUUGGGACUGAGAUACGGCCCAGACUCCUACGGGAGGCAGCAGUGGGGAAUAUUGCACAAUGGGCGCAAGCCUGAUGCAGCGACGCCGCGUGGGGGAUGACGGCCUUCGGGUUGUAAACUCCUUUCGCUAGGGACGAAGCGCAAGUGACGGUACCUAGAGAAGAAGCACCGGCUAACUACGUGCCAGCAGCCGCGGUAAUACGUAGGGUGCGAGCGUUGUCCGGAAUUACUGGGCGUAAAGAGCUCGUAGGUGGUUUGUCGCGUCGUUUGUGUAAGCCCGCAGCUUAACUGCGGGACUGCAGGCGAUACGGGCAUAACUUGAGUGCUGUAGGGGAGACUGGAAUUCCUGGUGUAGCGGUGGAAUGCGCAGAUAUCAGGAGGAACACCGAUGGCGAAGGCAGGUCUCUGGGCAGUAACUGACGCUGAGGAGCGAAAGCAUGGGGAGCGAACAGGAUUAGAUACCCUGGUAGUCCAUGCCGUAAACGGUGGGCGCUAGGUGUGAGUCCCUUCCACGGGGUUCGUGCCGUAGCUAACGCAUUAAGCGCCCCGCCUGGGGAGUACGGCCGCAAGGCUAAAACUCAAAGGAAUUGACGGGGGCCCGCACAAGCGGCGGAGCAUGUGGAUUAAUUCGAUGCAACGCGAAGAACCUUACCUGGGCUUGACAUACACCAGA